rnacentral:sRNA from 1 species
AUACAGCAUAGGAAGCAGCAGUGCAAACCUCCUAACACUGCUCCACUAAUGUGCCUCAA